rnacentral:lncRNA from 1 species
UAGGUUCUGUUAGGUCCUUGUACUCACCUGAAACUUCCUCAUCAAGUUUUGGCAUGUGUAGAGCCAGUGACAGUACCAUGGCUGAACAAGGGGUGUAAAAAUAGGAUAGUGCGUUGAACUCCUUUGCGAAUUCCAAGGUUGGAAAUGCAAAAGUAUCUGCAACCAACGCUGUUAAAGGAAAUUUAGAGGACAAGGAUUUCAGGGCCUCAUGUAUUGAUGGCAGAGAAAGAGUAAUAGUGACUGCAGGGUUUACUCCUUGGGGUAAUUGUUGUUUGUUAAUGGGAGGAAGUAAGAUGGUGUCUAUGUUUGAAGGAAGAGUCUUAAGGUAGGCUUUGGAGGAUUCUGGGGGUGACCCAAAUGAGGGAAUGAUGCAGUUGACAUGAAAAUUUGGGUGAAGCUUGAUAAGUAGCUUGCUGAACUCAACUAUAGGGACUAGGUGGCUGAAACCAGGACCUGAAACAAUAGCUAUGUGAGUUGUUUUUGCCAUGAAAACAGAACAUAUACUAUAGAUAUGUUUGCCUCCAAAAUGUGGUGAAAGCUAAAUAUGAUGCUCUCUUUAUGAUAAAAAAAAAAGGUUGUUUUUUGUUAUCCAAUUUAUCCCCAUAAUAGGAAUUUGAAAGAAGCAUACCUUGGUUUGACUUUUUUUAUUUGAAUGUUAUUUACAAAUAGCUUUCAAGGAGGAGGAUCCGAUGAUGUAAGUGCUUAGGCAAACUUGGUUUGACUUUCUUUAUUUACUAGUUUUUCUUUCUAGUUUGUUUUUUUUAUUUUCUAUGUUUGGAAUGAGGGUGAAAAGAAAAGAAAAAAAAAUUUAAAAUUUGAAUUAAAAGAAAAAAUUUAAAAUUUAUGGUUGUAUAAGUCAAUUUUUUUUUCUUUUUUCUUUUCAUUUACUCUUAAUCUAAAUAAAAGAAAAUAUUUGGUUAUAUAUGUUUUUCUUUUUCUUUAUUUUCUUUUCUUUCUAUCAUUAAUAUGUGUUGAAUUGUAUAGAAGAGAAAAAAAUUUAAAAAAUAUUUAAAUUAAAGUGAAAAAAAUGAGACCCAUAUUAAUUUUUUUAAAAUUUCUUCUCAAACAGUGAUUUUCUCUAUUCAAUCAAACCAUCCUUCGGCUUGACGUGAUUUACCCAAACUUAUUUGGGGUUUAUUGGUUGUGGACUUAGCUUUCAUCCAGAAAGUUUGCUUUGAUUCUUCCUCUUACAUUCGUAAGGUCCAAUGACUUUUAGUGAGUUAAUUUCCUAUAACAUUUUUGCUUUCCGUUCAAAUUCUUUAAUUCCUAUUGUUUCUUUUUUAUACUGGUUUAGUCUUUUAGUUUUUCAACUCUCACUCACUUAAAUAAAUGAAAACAAUUGAAGUUUUGAAACAUACGUUAUCAAUUUAAUGGUCAGUAUAUCUUUUCAAGUUUGAAAUAGAUAUUUUUAAGAGCACUGCUCCUUUUUUUAAAAAAACAAACAAACAGAAGAACUACUAUUAUAUAUUAUACUAGAGAGUGUAACCCAUAACAUACACGGUAAAUAUUGUUUAUCAAUAUUCAUAUUUCUUAUCUCGUGUAAAAUAAGUGCUUAUAAUUUUAGGAUAAAGAUUACUAAGUCUUAUUUGGGUUAUUAUCAUUAAGGUUUGAAUUAGUAUUUUUUGGUCUUGGAUAAGACACCAUGCAUAUUUUUCAAUUAACUAUGUUAACGAUUAAUUUCAUCAGUUAUAAGUAUAUGUCGUUAAUCUAAGAUAAUUUUGCAUACUAAAAAAAUUAAAGAUAAUCUUUUUGACUAAUAUUUUUUAUUUAUUUGUGAAAAUUGGUUCUUAUGCUAUUCAAUAUUUCUGUGCUGAAAAUGGUUAUAUCACGUGAUUAAAAUACUAUCCAUUUAUUGUCAAAUUAAAAAAUUAUUCAUAUUCUCUAUGAUUUCAAUUAAAUUUAUAAUCAUCAAUUUAAAAUGAAGUUAUAAGUAUAAGAAUUGAUGGUAAAAUAUCGAAUCAGCCAGGUGGUCGGAAGGGUAGCUUACAGCUUUCCACUUUGCAGGACGUAAUAAUUAUUUUUGGCUCACGUAAUAACUAGUUGUUUUAUACUAAUAUGAUCUAUGAAUUAUAUCUUAAUGGUGCAGUGUGGAUGAUUAGUCAUGUAUAAUGCAUGUUACAAUAAGAAUUCUAAUACUAUAUUGAACUUAAUUAAAUUAAUUAAUUUAAACUUAAAUAUGUUAAAAAAAUUAUAUAUAUUUAACUUCUUUUAAUAAAUUUUUUAUUAUUUUGAGUCUUUUAUAUUUUAAAAAAUUUAUUUCAGAUUUUUAUGGAUUAUUGAAAUGAUUGUUGAAAUGAUGAUAACUUAAAUAAUUAUUAAAAUAACUUCGACUAAUCAUCCAUUUUAAAAAAUGAAAAAUAAUAAAAUAUAAACAUAUGACCCCACUCUAAUUUUUAAAACUUUUUACUCAAAUAAAUAAAAGGAAUUAAAUCAAACACAACCUUAAAACCUAAAAUGUACAAAUAAACAAGGAGUGGACGUCAAAUUUUCUUUAGAGACAAACGUAAAAUUCAACUUGAAUAUCAAUCAACAUCUCUUUCAUGUGUCAACGAUACCCUACAUCUCCCGAAACCUCAAGUACCCCACAAACAAAACAAAUUAAGAAAAACACACAAAACACAACUUCGUAAAGCAAUUUAAAUGAAAAACUAUUUUCCUAAACCUGACUCGAAUUUUCCCAGUGACGAGCCAAUUGAGAUAGGGUUUGUGUUGAAGAGCCAUCUUUCAGUGCAUUAGCAGAGAAAUCUUUUAAAUUCAUCAUUCUUUCACGCAUUCCUUUACCUUCUUCCCCUUCCAUCAGACACUUUAUCACCCUCGCAAUUUCCUCCUUCUCCACUAUGCCAUCCUCGUUAAAUUUUGUCCUCAACGCCACUUUAAGUCCAUCGGUUAACAUAACUGCAUUCAUUCUCUGCUCAGCAAAGAGUGGCCAUGUUAUUAUAGGCACUCCCUCUUGCACACUCUCCAAUGUCGAGUUCCAACCACAAUGGCUCAGGAACCCUCCAACUGAAUUGUGACUAAGAACCUGAACCUGAGGUGCCCAUGAUGGCACAACCAAACCUUUCUCCUUUGUCCUUUCUAAAAACCCACUUGGUAAAAAUUUCAAAGGGUCCUCCUUUUCAGCCUCAAGGUAAGCAGCAUUAACUGAAUUACUUGGUGCUCUCAAAACCCACAAGAACCUUUGACCACUCAAUUCCAAACCCGAGGCUAACUCAUUGAUUUGGUUCUGAGAGAGUGUUCCACCACUUCCAAAAGAAACAUACAACACUGAACAAGGUGGCUGCUUGUCCAACCAACUCAAACACUUACCAGACUCAUCAACCUCAUCUCUUGACCCUUUUUGUGUAAUGGGUCCAACUGGGUACAGUCUGAUCUUCCCAUUUUCAUACUCUUCCAAUGCUCUUAUAGCACCUGAUUCCAUUUCUAAGAAGGUGUUGAUAAUUAUCCCAUCUGCGGUAGCUAUUGCUUUUGCACGUUCAAGAAAAGACUUAUAAGCUUCACUUGAUCGAUUUUGAGUUGGAGCUGGAAGAUCAACCCCCAAGAGUGGUACACAACCUUGUAACUUUAUAGGUUCUGUUAGGUCCUUGUACUCACCUGAAACUUCCUCAUCAAGUUUUGACAUGUGUAGAGCCAGUGACAGUACCAUGGCUGAACAAGGGGUGUAAAAAUAGGAUAGUGCGUUGAACUCCUUUGCGAAUUCCAAGGUUGGAAAUGCAAAAGUAUCUGCAACCAACGCUGUUAAAGGAAAUUUAGAGGACAAGGAUUUCAGGGCCUCAUAUAUUGAUGGCAGAGAAAGGGUAAUAGUGAGUUGAAUUAGGAGUCCAGCGUAUGCUCCUUGGGGUACAUUUUCC